UUGCAGUGUUGUGUGUAGGUUCUCCGUGGCGGACACGGGUACGAGUGGGCCCCGCUUUCGGCGCUGGUACCAGGAGCUCUGAGAGGAACGUGGGCGAGCUCGGAAGCUGCGCCAUGGUGAGCGAGGGGCCUCUGCCCCCAGAGCGGGAGGGGCGGCGACUGAGCCCCGGGAGCCGGUGUGCCGGGCGCUCUUCGGGACUGGGGCGGGGCCGACAUGCUGCGAAGCAACCUAGGCCCUGGACCGGCGGCCUCUGGGCAGCUCCGCCUCUCGGCCGCUUCUGCGCAGAGCAAGGAGUAGCGAAAGGCUCCGCCCUGCGCUGGGGACGCCCGGGUUGGUGACGUCGCAGCUGUGCGAGCGCUCAGAGCCUAUGUUCUUUUUUGUCCCGAGGGCCAGUUGCUAGCUAAGUGAGGGUAGUCUAUAGUUUCUUCGAGUUAUAGAAGUUCUGACGUUUACGUUUCCUGUCUAGGCUUAGAAUGUACUUUAAAUUACUUUUGCGAAAGUUGUAAAGUCUACCCAAUAUUUGGUCUAUAUCUGCGUGUUUGUUUUACUAGUUUGUUAAGUCACUUACUGUAUUUUGGGUUUGCUUCUGACUGUUUAAAUUGUUAUUUCUUAGUUUUGAAAUACUGUACUACUUUGAUUAUUGCAGUUUUAUCGGGAGUCUUAAAGUCAGGCAGUGUUCUGUUAAUGCUUCAGUAUCGUGUUAACUUUUUUCUUUUUCUUUUUUUGAGACAGGAUCUCGGGUUUCCCAAGUUGGCCUCAAACUUUCUCUUAGCUGAGGAGGACCUUGAACUUCUGAUCCCGCUACCCAAACCCACCUCCAGAGUGCUGGGAUUAAGGGUGUGUGACUAUAAGCCCCUUUGUGUGUGUGUGUGUGUGUGUGUGUGUGUGUGUGUGUGUGUGUUUCUGGGGAAGGAACCUAGGGCUUCGUGGUAGUAGUCAAACAUUCGAUCCGAUUCUGAGUAUAUCUUACAAGAUAAUGUUUAGAUCAACUUUCUGUUAUUUUUAGCAUAAAUUGUGAGGAUUUGAUGUGUUGAAUUUGUAGAUCAAAAUGACAACUGUCAUAAUUUUGAGGCUUCUUCCCAAAACCAUGGAAAUCUCUCCACUUACUAAGGUCUUUGAUUGUUUUUAUAUUAGAAAUGUAUGAUUUUUGUGUACAGAUGUUAAUUACAUUAAUAUGCAAAUAUGUCUCACUUUAUCCUUGCUAUAUAAGCUGUGUGGUGGUUUUAAUUUUCCAUCCAAAUGCCAAUGUACAUACAGUUUGUAUAUUGAUCUUGCAGCUCUACAAGUUCCUAGUUUCCUAAAUUCUUGUUGGUUCUUGGGUUUUCUAAAGCCAAAGAGAACUUUACUUUUUUUAGUUAUUUAACACUUUCAGUAGUACUUUUCCUUCUCUGGCAGUAUAGGGUUGUUUUUUUGUUUUGUUUUGUUUUGUCUACAGUUACUCGUAUGGUGUUGUGGUUUUUCUGUUCUGCUUCUCAGUUUGGUGGUUACAUUUUAAAAAUUGGUACUGAUGGGGGUGAAAACAGCUAUUUGCGUAAUGCUAGGCAUGUGUUCUACCGUGGAGCUUUGUCCACAGUCUGAAGUCUGAACUGACUUUCUGUAUCUGCAGUGAUUCCAGCCUGGUUUCAGAUCGGCUUUUUAUUUGCAGACCAGGCUGGUUUCAAACUCACAUGAGAUCUGUCCCAGCAUGCCAAAUGCUGGGGUUAUAGGCAUAUGUAACCACACUGCCUCAUUUUUAAUUAUUUUAGAAAUACACUUGAAGAUUUGGAUUACUGAUGUUUGUUGAGUUUUUUGCAUUGAGCAUUCUUUAGUUGUUGUUGUUUUCUUUUCUUUUUUUUUCCUCCUGUGUUGUUUUGGUGUUUUGGUAAUGUUGCCUCAAAAUUUGAACCACAGUUUGUUUGCCAUUUUAGAAGAUGUUUUACUGAAUUAGUGCCAUAUCUUAAUUGUUAAAAAUUUGAUAGUUGAAAUAAUUUGCAUCUUGUAUAUCUUUUUUUUGAGUUAGUGAUUUCAUUUCUUUAGCACAUAUAGGCCUACUCAUAUUGGCCGUCUCUCUGUCUUUCAGAGAAUUUGUUCAUUUCUUCUAAGUUACUAAGUAUGUGGUCUGGAGUUGUUCACAGUAUGCUUUUAUGGUUCUUUUAUGUUCGUGCUAAUGAUGGCCCUGUAUAAUUCUCUCACCCAAGUCCUGAGCAGGCAUAGUCCUGCUUAGUUUCCCAGAUCAGCUAGAGCGUGAGAGUAGGCGUGCUCAGGGUGGUAUGGCUGUAAGUCGUCCGUCCUCCACACUCUGAUCACUCAUCUCUUUAAACCCACGGCUGGAGACCUAACAGUUUUGAAAAGCGAAGCUUUAGAGUGAUUGGUUGUCUCUUGACUGCCUGUUUACAAUUUUAUUCUCUAAUUGUUAUUUUCCCGGGCUUGAUUUAUUUCUUCUUUCUCUAGCUUCCUAUUACGGAAUGAUUUAUUUUGCAGCUGUCUUCCUUUAUAGUAUAGACAUUUAUUGUUUUAAUCUCUCCCAAAUAUUUGUGCUUUGUGGCAUAAAUUUUUGUAAGAUGUACUUUUGAUUCUGUUGAAAUAUUUAAUCUCUCGAGACCUCUCCUUUACCGAAUGUUACUUAAGACUUUGAUUUCGUAUCCCUGUUUUCCAAUGUGUUGCCUUUAGCUUAGGGAUUCCCAGUGCCUAAUCAUAAAGGUGCCAAAAUUAAGAGUGACUCUCUGUCUGUCUCUUUUUCUGUCUCUCUCUCCCUCUCUCAUUCUCCCUUUUCAUCUCCCUUUCCCUCUUCCCCUUCCCCUUUCUCUAGGGUGGAAGUGUCAGGUUGACUACUCCAGGAUUUAUAAUAACUUUUAAAAUGACUUAAUUAUUUAUUUUUCCUUUAAGUGCAUUGGUGUUUUGCCUAUAUGCGUUCCUGUGAGGGCGUCAGGUCCCCUGGAGGCGGACUUACAUUUAUGAGCUGCCACGUGGGCAUCAGGGGUUGAACCUGGGUCCUGUGGAAGAACAGCCGGUGCUCCUAACUGCUGAGCCAUCUUUCAAGCCUCAGGAUUUUAAAUAAGUUUUAGUGAUACCUCAAAAUAUAUCCUGUUUCUGGGUUGGAAGAACCUUUAUUGGCUCAGUCAGGAGGACAGAAGAGUUGAACACUUAGUGUUUUGUACUUCCUUACAUCAUCAUAAAUGGCCAGGACAAGCCUGAUGAUGCACAGCAGGAGAAAAUAACUGCAGGCAGCUCUUCCCAUUACCAGCAUAGAAAUCUGAUCUAAAAGUUUCCCUAGUUAGUUAAUGUAGAGACACUAAUAAUUUUCAAGGGAAAAGAAGAGAGGAUCAAGAGAAGAGAGGAUCAAGGAAUCAACAAAGUAGUAAAUGUUUGAGAAAAACUAUCAUUUGGUCUUCCAGCUGGUGUUAUGUUUAAUUCUGACAAUUCAGUUUGUCAUGGUUUCUUCAGGAGGGAGCAUUUGAUGUUUGUUUGUUUGUUUGGUAGUGGUGGUAGUUGUUGGGGGUGGGGCUGCUAAGACAGGGUCUCUGUGGACCAUGCUGGCUUUGGACUUAGAUUUGCUGCCUCUGCAGUUGUGUGCCACUGUGCCUGUUUUUUGUUGUUGUUUGUUUGUUUGUUUGUUUUUGUUUUUGUUUUUUGUUUUUAGUUUUAAUCAUGCUAAGUUAGGGCUGGAGAGAUGGCUCAGUGGCUAAGAGCACUGACUGCUCUUCCAGAGGUCCUGAGUUUAAUUUCCAGCAAUCACAUGGUGGCUCACAACCAUCUGUAAUGGGAUCCGAUGCCCUCUUCUGGUGUGUAUGAAGACAGCAACAGUGUAUUCACAUACAUAAAAUAAAUAAU
rnacentral:lncRNA from 1 species